ACCGCCGCGCGGGCGGUUCCAGCGGAUGAGAGGCUGGAGAUGAGUCAGUGCCCUGUAGCCAAGAGGGCGAAUGGCAGAUUCGGGUGUGUGAUGGGUUUGCCGGUGCAAGCCCCCCUCUCGGAGGAGUGCCCUUGGCAGCUUCUCCUCGGACUGGUGAUAAAUGCCGGCAAUGGAGAUGGAUGGAGCUGUAGCACUUAGAGUUGCUAACCCACACUCCUGAGCUAUAGACGUGCGGACCAUUGUCCCGAUUUUUCCACGACAGUCCCAAAUUUAAAUGCUCUGCCCCGGCUCCCCAUGAAGUAGUGAAAUGCCCUGGAAAGCCCUGCCAGACAUUUCACUGCUCGGUGGGACACCAGCGUGCGGGAAGAAGCUCUGCCCCCUCCCAUUGCUCCUCACGUGCACCGCAGCCUCCUUCCCCUUCCCCCAACAGGGCCGUAGGGCAGCUGGGCCAGCUUCCAGGAAUGGGAGGCCCCUCCCUCGCUGCCCUCCCUCCCCACGCAGAACCGCCUGGUGGCCCCACCGCCUUCUCUUCUGGACUGCCUUGGAGCCCUGGCCUGGUGGCCCCACCGCCUUCUCUUCUGGACUGCCUUGGAGCCCUGGUCUGGUGGCCCCACCGCCUUCUCUUCUGGACUGCCUUGGAGUCCUGGUCUGGUGGCCCCACCGCCUUCUCUUCUGGACUGCCUUGGAGCCCUGGUCUGGUGGCCCCACCGCCUUCUCUUCUGGACUGCCUUGGAGCCCUGGCCUGGUGGCCCCACCGCCUUCUCUUCUGGACUGCCUUGGAGCCCUGGCCUGGUGGCCCCACCGCCUUCUCUUCUGGACUGCCUUGGAGCCCUGGCCUGGUGGCCCCACCGCCUUCUCUUCUGGACUGCCUUGGAGCCCUGGCCUGGUGGCCCCACCGCCUUCUCUUCUGGACUGCCUUGGAGCCCUGGCCUGGUGGCCCCACCGCCUUCUCUUCUGGACUGCCUUGGAGCCCUGGCCUGGUGGCCCCACCGCCUUCUCUUCUGGACUGCCUUGGAGCCCUGGCCUGGUGGCCCCACCGCCUUCUCUUCUGGACUGCCUUGGAGCCCUGGCCUGGUGGCCCCACCGCCUUCUCUUCUGGACUGCCUUGGAGCCCUGGCCUGGUGGCCCCACCGCCUUCUCUUCUGGACUGCCUUGGAGCCCUGGCCUGGUGGCCCCACCGCCUUCUCUUCUGGACUGCCUUGGAGCCCUGGCCUGGUGGCCCCACCGCCUUCUCUUCUGGACUGCCUUGGAGCCCUGGCCUGGUGGCCCCACCGCCUUCUCUUCUGGACUGCCUUGGAGCCCUGGCCUGGUGGCCCCACCGCCUUCUCUUCUGGACUGCCUUGGAGCCCUGGCCUGGUGGCCCCACCGCCUUCUCUUCUGGACUGCCUUGGAGCCCUGGCCUGGUGGCCCCACCGCCUUCUCUUCUGGACUGCCUUGGAGCCCUGGCCUGGUGGCCCCACCGCCUUCUCUUCUGGACUGCCUUGGAGCCCUGGCCUGGUGGCCCCACCGCCUUCUCUUCUGGACUGCCUUGGAGCCCUGGCCUGGUGGCCCCACCGCCUUCUCUUCUGGACUGCCUUGGAGCCCUGGCCUGGUGGCCCCACCGCCUUCUCUUCUGGACUGCCUUGGAGCCCUGGCCUGGUGGCCCCACCGCCUUCUCUUCUGGACUGCCUUGGAGCCCUGGCCUGGUGGCCCCACCGCCUUCUCUUCUGGACUGCCUUGGAGCCCUGGCCUGGUGGCCCCACCGCCUUCUCUUCUGGACUGCCUUGGAGCCCUGGCCUGGUGGCCCCACCGCCUUCUCUUCUGGACUGCCUUGGAGCCCUGGCCUGGUGGCCCCACCGCCUUCUCUUCUGGACUGCCUUGGAGCCCUGGUCUGGUGGCCCCACCGCCUUCUCUUCUGGACUGCCUUGGAGCCCUGGCCUGGUGGCCCCACCGCCUUCUCUUCUGGACUGCCUUGGAGCCCUGUGCGGAGCCCUGCUGGGGCUCUUUGGGGCAGGGCGCACUCAGGCCCGGCAGGUUUCAGGACUGGAGCGGAGGCUGCCUACCAUGCUAUUUUUAGUACUGCGGUCUGGGUCCCUGCAGGCAGCCCGGGCUCCAUCUGCAAUCAAGUGGCAGCCGCAUGAGGCAUGUUCCAGCUGGGGCAGCCUCACCAGAAUGGGCCUUAUUCAGCUGUCGCUUGACUCCGGCUGGGGGAGGGCCCGCGGUAAUAAAAAUAGCACUCCAGCCCCGCAAACUGCUUUCCACAUGGAAGGCAGCAGCCAAGUCCUUGAGGUGCGCACUGCACAUCCCUCCAGACCAGCUCUAGCAGCUAAGGAAGAGGCCAAGACACAGCAAAGAAGAUACGUCACUGUGCCAUGCGCAUUUCCCAGAGUCAUGGUCCGUUGUAGCGGGAUACAAUUAAUUGCCCUGCACAUUCACAGCAGUACAGGUAGACUUCCCCACUCCAAAGUGAUUCACAACUUCUUGGUUGAGCAGGGUUGUGAGUUGUAUCCCAGGGUCUUUGACUUUCCUACCCUACAUAUAGUGGCACAGGCCAUCUCUGCACUGAAGCUCAGUGUGAAGUUGCCUCUGCAGGAAGAGGAAUAGAGCUGUGUCAGAGUUGUGUACAUGUGUUUGUGUAGUAGCCAUGCCAGCUAUUUUGCCAUCUCACUUUGGGCCCUACCCACCCAGGCCUUCCACAGCACCCCCACCCACCCCAGUCAAAUCUGAGUGAAGCAUUGAAGUUAGGCAAAGCUGGGACAGUAGGGUGCAGUCACUCUUACCCAGAACCAAAGAGAUGUUUCCCAAAUGUCUACCUGGUCAUUUUUACUGCACUCUCAGGGGUAUGGAGCAGUGCCCCAUGUAAAAAUGUGUCAUAAUGAAUAUUCAGUGUCAAAUAUUGUGCAAGGCAGGGAUGGUGCGGGAAAUGGAUUACAAUGCUCAUCAGUCAUCUUCACCCUUACAGAGGGUUGCUUUACUUGGUGCUGAGUGAAACCCAGCAAGAUUAAUUAGUUUUCUUCCCAACCAAGCUUUAAAGGCAAAUUAAUUAGCUUGGUAGAAUUCAAGUCAGUUUCCCCUGAGGAGCUGGCUCCUUGUGUAUAGCACUAAUUGUCUAUCGUUUGCUGCCUAAGGUACCUCCAGGCUAGUGGCAGACAAUUGAUCAAGGCAAGAUCAUAGGUACUUGCAAUAUGUGGCAGAUCCUCUGUUCAUAAAUUAUAUUCUGGAUGGCUUGUUCUUUACUCACACCUAACACAGGUAGUGCACAACAACAUAACAUGGCUAAAUUUAGCAUAUACACAUGCAGGUAUAUACCUGAAAUGAAAUCAGGGCUCCUGAAAAAGAAAAAUAAAGGUACUCUGUACAACUAAAAUUCAGUCAGACACAGUCAUAUCAGGGGGUAUGUCUAC